UCGAGUUAGGGUCUUCUAGGCCCGAUCUCCAACCCUUUGUAUAACUACCAUGUUGCUUUGGCGAGCCCGUCUUUAACCGGACCGCCGGAGGUGUUAUAGCCUCUGGCCCGUGCUCGUCAGUAGCCCACAUAAAUUCUUUUUAACCAUGUUAAAUCUGAAACUAGUUAAAUAAACUA
rnacentral:misc_RNA from 1 species